rnacentral:misc_RNA from 1 species
UCUCCGUUGGUGAACCAGCGGAGGGAUCAUUACAGAGUUGCAAAACUCCCAAACCAUUGUGAACGUUACCUAUCCCGUUGCUUCGGCGGGCGGCCCGAGCACCGCGCCCGGCGCCCCCCGGCCCCCCGUGGGCGCCCGCCGGAGGUAAACCAAACCCUUGAAUUUCAUGGCCUCUCUGAGUCUUCUGUACUGAAUAAGUCAAAACUUUCAACAACGGAUCUCUUGGUUCUG